GGAAGCCUGGUCUCCCCGCUCGGAGCGAGCAGUCUGCUCUUGUGAAGGCGAGGCUCGAGGCCGGCGACAGACCUCUCAGCGACAGAGGGAGGUUAGGCUGGCGGCAGCCGCUGUGUCUGGGGCUCUGUUUGGGAGACGAAAGGCAGAAAGCUGGCCCCAGUCCUCCAUGACGGACUGGCACCUCUCCAGGUACCGGCGGCGUAGCUCCAUGGCCUGCUGGGAAAUGUAGUUCGGCCCCAAAUAGCCAACGGGAGACCGCCAGGCGCGGCGGUGGCGACGGGGCAGUCCCACUCCCAUCCCACCCACACCCCACCCCGGCGGCUCGGCCGGAUGUGGGCUGCCUCUCGGACCGGAAGAUCUGCGCGAGGCGGCGGCUGUUUCCGCCAGAGCGUCCGGUGUGGGUCAAAGGACUGCAGAGGCGACGCGGAUCUGGCAGGUGAUAUAAAGGCAGCGAGACAUUCUGACCAGUGUUUGCUCUGCCGCUGAAAACCGCCCAGGCUGCUCAAGACGUGAGCGGGAUCUCCCUGAGGACGUGGAUUUACUCGCAGCCUGACCCCUAGGAGAGUCGAUGGCACAUGGUUUGGAGAGGGCUGGGAGGGCACAACGCCUUUCCCGACACAUGGUCCUCCAGAUGUCCCACCCCUCACUUCCACAUACCGGCCUGCAGAGCAUCGGUAAGCUCUACAUCCAACUUGAACUCAGUUGAACUCAGAAUGCUUGAACCGGCGCUUGAACUCAGAACCCGGCGAUCAAAAGUCACAUGCUCUAUGGACUGAGCCAGCCAGGUGCCCUAAACACAUAUUUUGGACACCAUGCCAGGAUGCUGGAGAAAGAAGGGUGAAAAAGGCAUAGGUGUCCUUUGGAGCUCAUGGCCCAGUGUGGGGUUCUAGAAGUCACUCCAGAGCUAACGCAAGUCGUAUGUGUGGUGAGCUGACUUCUGCCACAGUUAACUGCUUCUGUCUUUCUGCAUACCCUGAUUUUUAUCCCCAACUUUUUGUUUUGAAAAAUUUCAAACCUACGGAAAAGUCGAGAAGAGUUACCUGGAUUCACCAACUGUUCACAUCUUCCAGUACUUGGUGAUUCUCUCUCUUACAUACACACAUGCAUGAAGUUUCUUUUUCAUUUUUUCCCCCUCUGAACCAUUCGGUAAUGAAUCUCAAACAUUAUCAGAUAUUACUCCAAAUACCAGAUACCCUAAGUACUAAGAACGAGGAUAUAAGGAUACUAUUUUAUUUAUUUUAAUGUUUAUUUAUUUUUUGAGAGAGAGAAUGAGCAGGGGAGGGGCAGAGAGAGAGACGGGGAGACACAGAAUCCGAAGCAGGCUCCAGGCUCUGAGCUGUCAGCGCAGAGCCUGACAUGGGACUCGAACCCACAAACUGCGAGAUCGUGACCUGAGCUGAAGUCGGAUUCUUAACUGACUGAGCCAGUCGCCCCUGACUGAGCCAGCCAGGCGCCCCAAGGAUAUUUUAAAUACUCAGAAUACAGUCAUCACACUCUGCAAAAUUAACAUCAUUAUCAUAGUUUAAUGAAUCCAUAAUCAGAUUUCUUCAGUUGCCGUGGUGAUAAUGUCCUUGACAGCUUUUCCCCCUUCCUGAUCCGGGGCUGAGUCAGAGAUCCUGCAUCACUUUUAGUUGUCACAUCUCUGUGGCCUGCUUGUAUCUAGAACACUCUCACACUUACCCACCUCUUAAAGUUCUGUCAAGACAAUGUUUUUGAAAAGUGCGUUCCAAGCAGAAUGUCCCUCAGUUUAGAUCUGUCUGGGUGUCUCCUUGUUACUAGACUGAGGGUACAUGCAGGCAUUCCCUGGGAUGUCUGUAUUUUUUCUUUGUAAUUAAUAAGUAGCCCGAGUGUGUGGAAAUGUCUUUCACCCCAUGAUUUUGGCAUUUGGCGGCAGUCCUUUCCUAAAUCAUUUGCUACAAUGGUAUAUGCAAAGUGGUGACUUUUCUGUCACUUAGUCGGUGUCAUUUGCAAGUCCUGGUUUAAACUUUCUGUCUUUGUCAUGAAAUUUUCGGCUUACAGAUGUUUGGUUGGUAACACAGCUCCCCUCCAGCGGCGCGUGCUCUGUACCAGGCACGGCUUGCUUUCUACGCAUGAUCCCUGGAAUCUCUGCAGCAGCCCUUAGGGCAGGAUUCAUCAUCCUCAUUUACAGCCAGGAUUAGUGGUUUAGCCACUUGCCCAGUGACUCAGCCAGGAUUCAAACUCCCUCUUUUAGCCACUUUGCAAUAUUGUCCAUCUGCAUGAUAUGUAUGUAUGUAUGUAUUUAUUGCUUAUUUUUUAGAGAGACGGAGACAGAAUGCGAGUGGGUUAGGGGCAGAGAGAGAGGGAGACACAGAAGCAGAAGCACGCUCCAGGCUCUGUCAGCACAGAGCCCGACACAGGGCCCGAACCCGCGAGCUGUGAGAUCAUGACCGGAGCCGAAGUCGGACGCUCAACCGACUGAGCCACCCAGGCGCCCCGUGCAUGAUAAUAAUUUAUUAUUUUACUAUUCCUCACUAACCAGUAAUGUCACUUUUUCCAGCUGACCAAGGAGGCUCAAAAUGGUCAUUCUGACCACAGGUCAGUUACAACAUUCCGAUGCCUGGCAGGACAAACAGCACCGUGUGUCACCUGCCAGUGUGUGACCAGCCUGGGAUCGUUCUUAGAUUGAGUUCUGCUUAGUUGAGUUUUUCUUACUGUCCAGUCAGUCCUCGUACUUCGUAUUGUUACAGAGUAUCCAGUGCUUUUGGUUCUCUGGAUCCUCCUGAGAAAAAUAACCCCAAACCCAACAUAUUCUCUAAAAAAAUGGAUGGAUCCAAAUGCAUAUGCGUGAGGCACAUGUUAGAUGUGUGAUAUUCUCAGGUUGGGCAAGAAGGGUGUUGACUGUGCGUCUCUGGGACCAGGACCUGUACAAGCUUCCAGAAGGCAGUAGCACAGCUACCUCGCAGGCAGCCUCCCCCUGCCGAGACGGAAACCAAAUAGUACAACAACAUGCCCUGUCUUCCCUUGCCGGGAAACUCCUUUGAGCUGAGGCUCACGUACAAACGACAGGAUUGGGUAGGAAGUUGGGCUUUCCAGUCCACAGCAGGAUAUUUUGCAAUUGCAGUGAUAAUUUUGCAACACGGGCAUUUCUGGAUCAUGGACUUAUAAGGUAGUGUUUUGAUGCCACUGAGGCCUCUAGGUCAAGAGAAGAUCACUACGCUUCCAUUUUUUGAGGUUCCAGUAAUUUUUUUUUUUUUUUUUAAUGAAAAAACGUGCAAAGAAGAUUAUAGCCCGCCCACAGAGGGCCCAAACUCAGGAACCAUGGGAUCGUGACCUGAGCCAAAGUCAGAUACUCAACCGACUGAGCCACCCAGGCGCCCCUCUCGGAAUGUCUUUACGAUGUUUAAUUGAGGGGGGGCACCUGGGUGGCUCAGUCAGUUGAGCAUCUGACUUCGGCUCAGGUCAUGAUCUCACAGUUUGCGGGUUCGAGAACCGCGUCAGGCUCUGUGCUGACCGCUUGCUCAGAGCCUGGAGCCUGCUUCAGAUUCUGUGUCUCCUCUCUCUGCCCCUCUCCCACUCACACUUUGUCUCACUCUGUUUCUCAAAAAUAAAUAAAUGUAAAAAAAAAAAUUAAAACAAAACAAAAAAACAAUGUUUGAUUGAGGGGCACCUGGGUGGCUCAGUCGGUUAAGCACCCAUCUUCGGCUCAGGCUAUGAUCUCACAGUUGAUGAGUUAGAGCCCCAUAUCGGGCUUUGCCCUGACAGCUUGGAACCUGUUUCCGAUUCUGUGCCUCCCUCUCUCUCUGCCCUUCCCCCACUAGCACUUCAUCUCUUUCUCUCUCUCAAAAAUAAAUAAACAUUAAAAACAUUUUUAAGGGGCGCCUGGGUGGCUCAGUCGGUUAAGGGUCCGACUUCGGCUCAGGUCAUGAUCUCGCGGUCCGUGAGUUCGAGCCCCGCGUCGGGCUCUGUGCUGACAGCUCAGAGCCUCGAGCCUGUUUCAGAUUCUGUGUCUCCCUCUCUCUGACCCUCCCCCGUUCAUGCUCUGUCUCUGUCUCAAAAAUAAAUAAACGUUAAAAAAAAUUAAAAAAAAAAACAUUUUUAAAAAGUAUUUUAUAAUUAGCUUUGCCUUCGAGGGGGUAUCAGUCCUGCCCCCCCAACCAUCAUGAUAAAGGUUUAUGGUAUUUAAAUAUAGUACAUAUCUGUUAUUGAGAAAAAGAACGAACCAUUGGCAAGAUCAUGGAAGAGUGAGUUCCUGUGUUAAUACGAUGCUGAAAAUAAUAGAUCCCAUUGUGACCCAACUCUCCCUACACUCCAGUCUAUUAAAUUUUAAGGGAGAAAUCUGAGACUUUGAGAGGCUAACUUCUCAAGUUCAAAGUGAAUUUCCAGGCAAUGAACCUCCCAUUGAGACACAUAUUUGUAACUGUGCUUUCUGAGAACAAACCGAGUUCUUUGGCCACCUACAACCUCCCGAGCAGGAUGGAAACGGAGAGCAAGCCAGAUCCCCAAGGUAGGCUACUGUGGGUGGCCUUGAACUGUGGAUGUUGUGCAGUUGUGGUGUCGAAUAGUUCCUUGGUUGGUUCACCAAUGAGUUUCAUUUGCAAUAUGUUAACUAACGCCCAGUAAGAAGCUUCAUAAGGUACAAAGUGCUAUACAUCAUUUAUUCUGAUUGUUAAAUCUAUAUAGAGGGUAAGAGGGUAUUCGUUUUAUUCUCUACAAUUUUUUUUUUUGUAGACAUUUUACAAUUUAAAACAUUGAAAAAAAUUUGUUCUGACAAUAUUUUUAGGGACCCUACUAGGAGGCUGGCUGUGGGCGUACAGUCCCUGACCGUCAAAGGCUUACAGGUUAGUGAAGAGAAAAACCCAGUUGCCUAGAAGGCAACUGCUCUCCCUUCUUUGGCAUCCUUUGAGGUUUGGUUUACAUUAUCCUGCCCUCACUCCCACCUCCCUGUCUCCUUACCGCCUCCCACCCCACCCCCCUCCCCGCGGCCAAGCUGCCCCGAGUGCUGCUUCGGUCAUUCAGCACCUUGUAUUGAAACUGUCGUUGAGUCUCCAAUGUGCACAAAGUAGUGGGGGGAAAAAACGGGACUCCAAGAUCUAGGACCUGUGUGACCGGGGGCCAGUUAUUCGACUUCUCUGAGCUGGUCUCCUCUAAGUCAAAUGGGUGGUUUGGGAAUUUCAGUGAGAUAAUGUAUGCAAAAGAGCCUGGCACCGUGAGUCAGUAUCACCUUCCUUCAGCGCCGGGCUUGUCGUGGUUGGCGUCCGAGGGGCGGACGGAAGAUCCCCGUCCCCGAACAGCCAUCACCUCCGAGACGCCCUCCGCCCACGGCGCGCGGUUCCCGCGGCCGCACUCACUUCGGCGCGUGGGGGCAGGAAGACCCCGCUCCGCGGGUCUCACGCCCGGCAGCAACCCCGUGGGAGAAUCGCUCCCAGGGGAGGCUGCUCGGGCAGCACGGGGUGUGUGUACGGGAAGAGCAGCCCGAGGAUAAAAGGGAAGUGUCGGCUCCAGGCGCUGGGAGCGACAACCACACCGCACGCGGUCUCCGCCGUGGCCGCGAGGGCUCGACCCGAGGGAGGGAGAGCGGGAGGAGACGCGACCCGCCCAGGGGGCUGGCGCCCCACGGGCCGCGCGGUCACGGCCCGGGUCUCCCGCGCCGGGCCGGCGUGCCCUAAACUGCGUCUCCCAGG